UGUUGAAAAGUUGGAACUUUUGUGGGA
rnacentral:piRNA from 2 species